rfam:Oenococcus oeni PST-1, complete genome.
AAGAUAAAUAGCAACCAAGCAGGUAUAUCGUCGGAUAAUGGCUGACAGUUUCUACCCAACACCAAUGUUGGACUAUCUGUGGAUGUCUUUUUGGC